rnacentral:lncRNA from 1 species
UAUAAACAGAAACCGCCAGUUCUUAUUCGUGCUUGUACUCUACCUUGCUGUUGAAGAAUGAAGCAUACUUCCUUGCAGAGCUUACAGCCGAAUCAAUUCUGUUUGUUUUUUUCAUGUGUCGUGACAAGCGAAAUGGUUUUCGAACAUUAACUUUGGGCUCAGUAAACCUGCGUGUCGGUUUCUGCUGUUACAUUUUUCGUGGUAUAACUGAUCAAUGCCGAUUGUGCUGUCGUCAACUGUUUCAUGUAUUAUAAAUAAAGAACCUGACCAACUGGUCUCAACGAAUUGAAAAUUCAAAGAUUUCUCUUAAACGUAUGCUACUUGGAAUUCAUGAAAAGAAAAUCGAUGCGCGGGUAUGUAUUGGACGGAUUUAGACCUUAAACAAUGUCUACUCAAACAUUUCCCUUGCAGACUCGCAAAUAUUCGCAAACAGGAGUUGGUGUAUUAAUUAUUUAAUUUUCACGUCACUCGGUCAUCUCUAUACCCUCGGUGCUGUGGAAAAAUGGCUAAAUUGGAGUUUCAGCACAGAAAUUUGCAGUUAAACUGAACGGCUAUGUGUACACUGUACACACACAAUUGCUCUCAAAGUAAAUAUAGCCUCGUCGUAUUUCUGAACGACAAAGCUACAAAACCUGUCAAAAUGUCAUUGAAAGUAUGGAAAUUUAAUCAAGAUGAUGGCUUCAAUUUCAUAUCUGGGGGCCCAUUUAUUCACGUGCGUAACACGAGAGAAAAAAUUCAAUUUACAAGGAACAAAGCUUCGAAUCGACUCAUUUUUCACCGACUAUUUCGCAUGCAGUUUGGCUGCUGUUUGAAUUUGAAUUUUCAAUCGAUCAAAACUCGGUAGGACGAAGGAACUUAAUCCAUUUACCGCGAAGUACCCGAAAAUGUUCUUCGCAUCCAUUCUGCAAUUAUCUUUGGCGUUUCGAAAAUAUUCACCUGUAAACUAAUUAAGCAAUCCUUCCUUUACAGUGUUUUCAGCCAAAUGUCGCCCUACGUCUAUAACUAUAUUGAUGUAACCUACUUACAACAACUUGGUGUAGCCUACGGUAAAUACGCUUCAAAUGUUCUAAAAUAACUUGGACCGGGAAACAAGAGAAACGGAUGCAACGUUGGUAAUAAGUGAAUAGCAACCGACGUGUUGUCAGGAUACCAAAGCGUCGACGGAUCAAUCAACCGGGAUUUAAUUUGAAUAACAUUCGCAAUUAAUUUUAAUAGGAAAACAAGUUGGCUAGUAUAUUAUACCGCCGCCAUGCCCAAGAUCAAAUAUCCGAUUAGUAAGUUAUAUCGCUAACAUAUAAUAACGCCCUCGGUUGUUUCAAAUUUCAGCACGACGUACGGUAAUAUAACGUAUGCAUAUAGAAUUCAUCAUUUAUUUUAUUCAUAAGUCAAAUCCCAUAUGCCCCGCCAUGCAGUAUAAGCUAUAUAACUUGUUACCUGCUAUAUGGUAGUAGCCCAGACCUUUCUAUACCGCACAGCUAAUAAUAAGACGAGAAAAUCAGUAUUCAGAACGUGACGAUGCGAGGCUGGAAUGUCACCCCCUGUACUCCCCUGUAUAUAACACGCGCCUGUUUGAAACCUAAUUACAUGGAAGCCUCGCCAACUUGCAUCAGAUGUGAAAUGGUAGGAGAUGUUCCUAGCAUCGAAAUCAUCGAAUUUUCACAAUUCUCUUCUUUAUGUCUAAUUCGCCAUCCAUUUAUGCGAUCGUUCUAAGAACUAAGCCUCGCAUAAUACACGAGGCCAUGCUGCAUAAUAUAUAUAGUAGUUGGAAGUCCCUGAAAAGAAAUGUUCGCAUCAAACUCGGGAGUAAACCAAAACCAUCAGUACAGUCAAAUCCCCCACCAAAACGUCCGGGUGUAUCAUCGAUUAUUACAUCGGUAAGCCAAAAGGGCCACUCCCUUUUCGACGAAGCGGAAUACUAUAUAGGUUAUAGGUAGCUCAUUUCCAAAAGUAGCUCAGUUCUCUGAAUCCUUAAUGAGGAGGCCCCCUUGACGGUUAGAUCUAUACAAUGGUCGGCCGCAAAUUUUCAACUUGAAUAUUCCGGUAGAUAUUAUACACAUCUAAUACCCAGUUAUGUAA